rnacentral:rRNA from 1 species
UACGUAGGGUGCAAGCGUUAAUCGGAAUUACUGGGCGUAAAGCGUGCGCAGGCGGCUUUGCAAGACAGAUGUGAAAUCCCCGGGCUCAACCUGGGAACUGCAUUUGUGACUGCAUGGCUUGAGUGCGGCAGAGGGGGAUGGAAUUCCACGUGUAGCAGUGAAAUGCGUAGAGAUGUGGAGGAAUACCGAUGGCGAAGGCAGCCUCCUGGGCCAACACUGACGCUCAUGCACGAAAGCGUGGGGAGCAAACAGG